CCUAACAAUAUAACAAUAUGUAUAUUGUAUUACGAAGAAGCAAGGUGUACUCCAGUUUUCCAGUUCUAUUAAAUACUUUCAAAAAAACAAAAACUCAAAAAUGUAUAGCAUACACAACCUUCGACAACUGUUACAAGCAAUGAUCGGACUAGUUUUUGGAGCGAUGUCUCCCUAUAUAAAAUCGCCUGCACCAGCCCUUGUGGUUGAAUUACUGGACAUUUUGGGGGACGCAGAUGAGCUGUUCACCAGGGACCCUUUUAUACCACAUAAACAGCCUACACGACAACAAGAAAAAGAGAUGUUAUUAGCUUACCUAAACUAUGUGACAGCACGAUUGAUACUUAUCGAAGAGGAUACCACCACAUAUAAAAAAAGAUAGGUUGCCAGGCAACGAAACAUACGGCCACAGCAGCUAAAUCGUCCGGGCAGUCAACAAGUGUUGUCGCAUAUUUUUACUUCUUUCGGUAAUGAAACAUUUAUAAUACACUCAUGAAGUAAUUAUCAGAAAACCAUUAGAAUUUGUUUGGUUUUUAA